GCUUCCUGAAGGGCCGUCGAAGACUACGACGUUGAUAGGUCGGGUGUGUAAGCGCUGUGAGGCGUUGAGCUAACCGAUACUAAUUGCCCGUGAGGCUUGACCAU
rnacentral:rRNA from 1 species